AUGCAUCUCGGACAGACCUGGAGUGGUUAAUGUCUGCUGCUAAGCUUUCCACUACAGAUGCGUGGAAAAUAAAAGGUUCUCACACUUUCCAUCUGCUAGGUUGUGGCAGCCAAGGUUGAAUUGUGGAAUACAGGA
rnacentral:snoRNA from 1 species